rnacentral:rRNA from 1 species
UACGGAGGGGGCAAGCGUUGUUCGGAAUUACUGGGCGUAAAGGGCGCGUAGGCGGGAUGGCAAGUCGGUCGUGAAAUCCUUCGGCUCAACCGAAGAACGUCGAUCGAUACUGCUGUUCUUGAGGGUUGCAGAGGAGACUGGAAUUCCCGGUGUAGCGGUGAAAUGUGUAGAGAUCGGGAGGAACACCGGUGGCGAAGGCGGGUCUCUGGGCAAUUCCUGACGCUGAGGCGCGAAAGCGUGGGGAGCGAACAGG